rnacentral:rRNA from 1 species
UACGUAGGGCGCAAGCGUUGUCCGGAAUUAUUGGGCGUAAAGAGCUCGUAGGCGGCUUGUCACGUCGAUUGUGAAAGCCCGAGGCUUAACCUCGGGUCUGCAGUCGAUACGGGCUAGCUAGAGUGUGGUAGGGGAGAUCGGAAUUCCUGGUGUAGCGGUGAAAUGCGCAGAUAUCAGGAGGAACACCGGUGGCGAAGGCGGCGACCUGGGCCAAUACUGACGCUGAGGUGCGAAAGCGUGGGGAGCAAACAGG